rnacentral:rRNA from 1 species
AACGAACGCUGGCGGCGUGGAUAAGACAUGCAAGUCGGACGAGGAAUUUUUAAGCUUGCUUUGAAAUUCCUAGUGGCGAACGGGUGAGUAACACGUGAGUUACCUGCCCCAAAGUCGGGGACAGCCCGGGGAAACCCGGAUUAAUACCGGAUGUGAUCGUAAGAUUAAAGGCGGGGUAACCUGCCGCUUUGGGAUGGGCUCGCGGCCUAUCAGCUUGUUGGUGAGGUAACGGCUCACCAAGGCGAUGACGGGUAGCUGGUCUGAGAGGAUGAUCAGUCACACUGGAACUGAGACACGGUCCAGACACCUACGGGUGGCAGCAGUCGAGAAUCAUUCACAAUGGGGGAAACCCUGAUGGUGCGACGCCGCGUGGAGGACGAAGGCCCUAGGGUCGUAAACUCCUGUCAUCAGAGAGUAAGGACUUCACCAGUAACUGGGUGGGGUAUUGAUAGUAUCUGAAGAGGAAGGGACGGCUAACUUCGUGCCAGCCGCCGCCGUAACAC